UACGGGGGGAGCAAGCGUUGUCCGGAUUCAUUGGGCGUAAAGGGUGCGUAGGUGGCGCUGUAAGUCGGGUGUGAAAUUUCGGAGCUUAACUCCGAAACUGCAUUCGAUACUGCGGUGCUUGAGGACUGGAGAGGAGACUGGAAUUCAUGGUGUAGCAGUGAAAUGCGUAGAGAUCAUGAGGAAGACCAGUGGCGAAGGCGGGUCUCUGGACAGUUCCUGACACUGAGGCACGAAGGCCAGGGGAGCAAACGGG
rnacentral:rRNA from 1 species